rnacentral:rRNA from 1 species
UACGUAGGGGGCAAGCGUUAUCCGGAUUCACUGGGUGUAAAGGGAGCGUAGGCGGCCUGGCAAGCCUGAUGUGAAAUACCGGGGCCCAACCCCGGGGCUGCAUUGGGAACUGCCAGGCUGGAGUGCCGGAGAGGCAGGCGGAAUUCCUAGUGUAGCGGUGAAAUGCGUAGAUAUUAGGAGGAACACCAGUGGCGAAGGCGGCCUGCUGGACGGUGACUGACGCUGAGGCUCGAAAGCGUGGGGAGCAAACAGG